rnacentral:rRNA from 1 species
AGACAGCAGUAGCCGCGGUAAUACGAAGGGUGCAAGCGUUACUCGGAAUUACUGGGCGUAAAGCGUGCGUAGGUGGUGGUUUAAGUCCGUUGUGAAAGCCCUGGGCUCAACCUGGGAAUUGCAGUGGAUACUGGGUCACUAGAGUGUGGUAGAGGAUAGUGGAAUUUCCGGUGUAGCAGUGAAAUGCGUAGAGAUCGGAAGGAACAUCUGUGGCGAAGGCGACUAUCUGGGCCAACACUGACACUGAGGCACGAAAGCGUGGGGAGCAAACAGGAUUAGAUACCCGGGUAGUCCCUGUCUCUUAUAC